rnacentral:rRNA from 1 species
AGCGAACGCUGGCGGCAGGCUUAACACAUGCGAGUCGAGCGGGCACUUUCGGGUGUCAGCGGCGGACGGGUGAGUAACGCGUGGGAACGUGCCCUCUGGUUCGGAAUAACUCAGGGAAACUUGAGCUAAUACCGGAUACGCCCUUUUGGGGAAAGGCUUGCUGCCGGAGGAUCGGCCCGCGUCUGAUUAGCUAGUUGGUGAGGUAACGGCUCACCAAGGCGACGAUCAGUAGCUGGUCUGAGAGGAUGAUCAGCCACACUGGGACUGAGACACGGCCCAGACUCCUACGGGAGGCAGCAGUGGGGAAUAUUGGACAAUGGGCGCAAGCCUGAUCCAGCCAUGCCGCGUGAGUGAUCAAGGCCUUAGGGUUGUAAAGCUCUUUUAUCCGGGACGAUAAUGACGGUACCGGAGGAAUAAGCCCCGGCUAACUUCGUG